AGGGUUCGAUUCUGGCUCAGGAUGAACGCUGGCGGCGUGCUUAACACAUGCAAGUCGAACGAAGCAACUAUCUUGCUGCAAGAAAGUUGACUUAGUGGCGGACGGGUGAGUAACGCGUGGGUAACCUGCCUCAUACAGGGGGAUAACAGUUGGAAACGACUGCUAAGACCGCGUAACCCGCUAGUGUCGCAUGACACGGACGGAAAAUAUUUAUAGGUACGAGAUGGGCCCGCGUCUGAUUAGCUAGUUGGUAAGGUAACGGCUUACCAAGGCGACGAUCAGUAGCCGACUUGAGAGAGUGAUCGGCCACAUUGGGACUGAGACACGGCCCAAACUCCUACGGGAGGCAGCAGUGGGGAAUAUUGGACAAUGGGGGAAACCCUGAUCCCAGCGACGCCGCGUGAGUGAAGAAGUAUUUCGGUAUGUAAAGCUCUAUCAGCAGGGAAGAUAAUGACAGUACCUGACUAAGAAGCCCCGGCUAACUACGUGCCAGCCGCCGC
rnacentral:rRNA from 1 species